AGUGAACGCUGGCGGUAGGCCUAACACAUGCAAGUCGAACGGCAGCACAGUAAGAGCUUGCUCUUACGGGUGGCGAGUGGCGGACGGGUGAGGAAUACAUCGGAAUCUACUUUUUCGUGGGGGAUAACGUAGGGAAACUUACGCUAAUACCGCAUACGACCUACGGGUGAAAGCAGGGGAUCUUCGGACCUUGCGCGAUUGAAUGAGCCGAUGUCGGAUUAGCUAGUUGGCGGGGUAAAGGCCCACCAAGGCGACGAUCCGUAGCUGGUCUGAGAGGAUGAUCAGCCGCACUGGAACUGAGACACGGUCCAGACUCCUACGGGAGGGAGCAGUGUGGAAUAUUGGACAAUGGGCGCAAGCCUGAUCCAGCCAUACCGCGUGGGUGAAGAAGGCCUUCGGGUUGUAAAGCCCUUUUGUUGGGAAAGAAAAGCAGCAGGUUAAUACCCCGCUGUUCUGACGGUACCCAAAGAAUAAGCACCGGCUAACUUCGUG
rnacentral:rRNA from 1 species